rnacentral:rRNA from 1 species
UACGUAGGGGGCAAGCGUUGUCCGGAUUUAUUGGGCGUAAAGAGCGUGUAGGCGGUCUGGUAGGUCCGCUGUGAAAACUCGAGCUCAACCUCGAGACGCCGGUGGAAACCAUCAGACUAGAGUCCGGAAGAGGAGAGUGGAAUUCCUGGUGUAGCGGUGAAAUGCGCAGAUAUCAGGAAGAACACCCGUGGCUAAGGCGGCUCUCUAGUACGGUACUGACGCUGAGACGCGAAAGCGUGGGGAGCGAACAGG